UACAGAGGGUGCAAGCGUUAAUCGGAAUUACUGGGCGUAAAGCGUGUGUAGGUGGUUUGCUAAGUCAGGUGUGAAAUCCCUGGGCUCAACCUAGGAAUUGCAUUUGAUACUGGCAGACUAGAGUGCGGUAGAGGAUGGUGGAAUUCCCGGUGAAGCGGUGAAAUGCGUAGAUAUCGGGAGGAACAUCAGUGGCGAAGGCGGCCAUCUGGACUGACACUGACACUGAGACACGAAAGCGUGGGGAGCAAACAGG
rnacentral:rRNA from 1 species